rnacentral:rRNA from 1 species
AUUGAACGCUGGCGGCAGGCCUAACACAUGCAAGUCGAACGGUAGCACAGAGAGCUUGCUCUCGGGUGACGAGUGGCGGACGGGUGAGUAAUGUCUGGGAAACUGCCCGAUGGAGGGGGAUAACUACUGGAAACGGUAGCUAAUACCGCAUAACGUCGCAAGACCAAAGUGGGGGACCUUCGGGCCUCACACCAGCGGAUGUGCCCAGAUGGGAUUAGCUAGUAGGUGGGGUAAUGGCUCACCUAGGCGACGAGCCCUAGCUGGUCUGAGAGGAUGACCAGCCACACUGGAACUGAGACACGGUCCAGACUCCUACGGGAGGCAGCAGGGGGGAAUAUUGCACAAUGGGCGCAAGCCUGAUGCAGCCAUGCCGCGUGUAUGAAGAAGGCCUUCGGGUUGUAAAGUACUUUCAGCGGGGAGGAAGGCGGUGAAGUUAAUAGCUUCACCGAUUGACGUUACCCGCAGAAGAAGCACCGGCUAACUCCGUGCCAGCAGCCGCCGUAA